GCCUGGCUGGCUCUGUUGGUGGAGCAUGUGACUCUUGAUCUCAGGGUGGUGAGUUCAAACCCCACGUUGGCUG
rnacentral:tRNA from 1 species